CUAAUACCGGAUGUGGUGGUUCUGUUGGUUCAGAAUCAACCAAAGGUGGAAAUUCUUCGGAACCUGCCGCUUGAGGAGGGGCCCGCGUCCCAUCAGUUAGUUGGUAGGGUAAUGGCCUACCAAGGCAAAGACGGGUAGCCGGCCUGAGAGGGUGAUCGGCCACACUGGGACUGAGACACUGCCCAGACUCCUACGGGAGGCUGCAGUCGAGGAUACAUUCGCAAUGCUGCGAAAGCGUGACGAUGGGAGGCUGCGUGUUAAGGAAUGACGGNCUACGGGUGUUGUAGACUACUAGUCUAAAGUGGAGAANGCGGUACAUGGCCAAAUAACCGUGUAACCCGAUGUUAUCUUAAGAGGAAGCCAAGGGUAACUCUGUGCAAAGCAAGCGAGGUAAUAAAAAGGAGGCGAGCGAAGUAAGGAAUACUUGGGGGUAAAAGGUGUGUAGGAGGUCAAUGAAUGAAGGAUUGCAGAAUUCAGGAGGGUAAACCAAUUGGGGAGGAUUUGACAACUACGUGGUUAGAGUUGCGAAACAGGGCAAGCGGAAUACUAUGGUGAUGCGGUGAACAGGCGUUAGAUAUCAAUGAAGAACACCGGGAAGCAAAGGGGGCCAGCAGGUACGUAACUGACACUCAUACACGAAAGCUGGGGGAGCAAACAGGUUUUAGAUACCCUGGUAGUCCCAGCUGUAAACGGUGUGCACUCGAUGUUGGCGGAAUUGUCCCCGCCAGUGUCCAAGCAAACGCGUUAAGUGCACCGCCUGGGGAGUACGGUCGCAAGAUUAAAACUCAAAGAAAUUGACGGGGACCCGCACAAGCGGAGGAGCAUGUGGCUUAAUUCGAUGCAACGCGAAGAACCUUACCUGGACGUGACAUAUAACUGCACGUCCCGUGAAAGCGGGAUUCCUUCGAGGGUGUUGUACAGGUGCUGCAUGGCUGUCGUCAGUUCGUGCCGUGAGGUGUUAGGUUAAGUCCUGCAACGAACGCAACCCCUGUGUUUAGUUGCCAUCAGGUAAUGCUGGGCACUCUAGACAGACCGCCCGUGCAAUCGGGAGGAAGGUGGGGACGACGUCAAGUCAGUAUGGCCCUUACGUCCAGG
rnacentral:rRNA from 1 species